AGAGUUUGAUCAUGGCUCAGGACGAACGCUGGCGGUGUGCUUAAUACAUGCAAGUCGAGCGGACUAUGGGGGCUUGCUCCCAUAGUUAGCGGCGGACGGGUGAGUAACGCGUGAGCAACCUGCCCGUAUCUGGGGAAUAACACAUAGAAAUGUGUGCUAAUACCGCAUAAGACCACGAAGGGGCAUCCCUUUGAGGUAAAAGAUUUUAUCGGAUACGGAUGGGCUCGCGUACCAUUAGAUAGUUGGUAGUGUAACGGACUACCAAGUCGACGAUGGUUAGCCGACCUGAGAGGGUGAUCGGCCACAUUGGAACUGAGAUACGGUCCAG
rnacentral:rRNA from 1 species